UCAGCCUAACCUAGGUACCUACUCACAUUUUGCAAAUAGAUCUGUCUCAGAAUUACUAAACUGGAAGGUGUUUCAUGGCAAAAUCAGAUAUGUUUUUCCUAUUUGCAGUUAUUUCAAAUUUAUCUCACUAAAAGUCUCAGCACUUCUUCCACUCUCUGCUUGCCUGGCAGUAGAGAACAAUGAGCUUGUGCUACCAUCUUGAGACCCUGAUCAUGAAGCCUAUCAGAUAUGAAACCUACUAAGUCAGUACCAACCUGGUCAGUCCCCCGAUGGAGUUCCUGAUGUCUGUCAUUUGACAGGGCACCUGGACUGAUGUUCCCUAGCCAUUGAGAGCUGCAUCAUCAUCACCAGUUGCUGUAUAAUUAAAAGCACAACAAACUUGUUAUUCUGGCCAACCUCUUCCAUCUUUCUUUUGGCAACCCGAAUGUCCAUCAGUAGACAAAUGCGUAAAUAAAAUACGGUAUAUACCUGCAAUGGAAUAUUACUCAGCCUUGAAGAGGAAGGAAAUUUUGGCACAUGCUACAACAUGUAUGAACCUUAAGGAUAUUACAGUAAGUGAAAUAAACCAGUUACAAAAAGAAAAGUAUUGUAUGAUUCCACUUAUAUGGGUUACGUAGAGUAGUUAAACUCAUACAGCCAGAAAACAGCGAUGGUUGCCAGAGGCUGGAGGGAAAGAGAACUGAGGAGUUAUUCUUUAAAGGAUAUAGUUUCAAUUUUGCAAGAUGAAAAGAAUUCUGCAGAUGGAUGCUGGUGA